rnacentral:rRNA from 1 species
GAGUUUGAUCAUGGCUCAGAUUGAACGCUGGCGGCAUGCCUUACACAUGCAAGUCGAACGGCAGCAUGAUCUAGCUUGCUAGAUUGAUGGCGAGUGGCGAACGGGUGAGUAAUACAUCGGAACGUGCCCUGUAGUGGGGGAUAACUAGUCGAAAGAUUAGCUAAUACCGCAUACGACCUGAGGGUGAAAGUGGGGGACCGCAAGGCCUCAUGCUACAGGAGCGGCCGAUGUCUGAUUAGCUAGUUGGUGGGGUAAAGGCCCACCAAGGCGACGAUCAGUAGCUGGUCUGAGAGGACGAUCAGCCACACUGGGACUGAGACACGGCCCAGACUCCUACAGGAGGCAGCAGUGGGGAAUUUUGGACAAUGGGCGAAAGCCUGAUCCAGCAAUGCCGCGUGUGUGAAGAAGGCCUUC